GACGAACGCUGGCGGCGUGCUUAACACAUGCAAGUCGAACGGAAAGGCCCUGCUUUUGUGGGGUGCUCGAGUGGCGAACGGGUGAGUAACACGUGAGUAACCUGCCCUUGACUUUGGGAUAACUUCAGGCAACUGGGGCUAAUACCGGAUAGGAGCUCCUGCUGCAUGGUGGGGGUUGGAAAGUUUCGGCGGUUGGGGAUGGACUCGCGGCUUAUCAGCUUGUUGGUGGGGUAGUUGCUUACCAAGGCUUUGACGGGUAGCCGGCCUGAGAGGGUGACCGGCGACAUUGGGACUGAGAUACGGCGCAGACGCCUACGGGAGGCAGCAGUGGGGAAUAUUGCACAAUGGGCGGAAGCCUGAUGCAGCAACGCCGCGUGCGGGAUGACGGCCUUCGGGUUGUAAACCGCUUUCGCCUGUGACGAAGCGUGAGUGACGGUAAUGGGUAAAGAAGCACCGGCUAACUACGUG
rnacentral:rRNA from 1 species